AUAUGAACCGUUAUAACCGGCGAUUUCCGAAUGGGGAAACCCAGUGUGUUUCGACACACUAUCAUUAACUGAAUCCAUAGGUUAAUGAGGCGAACCGGGGGAACUGAAACAUCUAAGUACCCCGAGGAAAAGAAAUCAACCGAGAUUCCCCCAGUAGCGGCGAGCGAACGGGGAGCAGCCCAGAGCCUGAAUCAGUAUGUGUGUUAGUGGAAGCGUCUGGAAAGGCGCGCGAUACAGGGUGACAGCCCCGUACACAAAAAUGCACAUGCUGUGAGCUCGAUGAGUAGGGCGGGACACGUGGUAUCCUGUCUGAAUAUGGGGGGACCAUCCUCCAAGGCUAAAUACUCCUGACUGACCGAUAGUGAACCAGUACCGUGAGGGAAAGGCGAAAAGAACCCCGGCGAGGGGAGUGAAAAAGAACCUGAAACCGUGUACGUACAAGCAGUGGGAGCACGCUUAGGCGUGUGACUGCGUACCUUUUGUAUAAUGGGUCAGCGACUUAUAUUCUGUAGCAAGGUUAACCGAAUAGGGGAGCCGAAGGGAAACCGAGUCUUAACUGGGCGUUAAGUUGCAGGGUAUAGACCCGAAACCCGGUGAUCUAGCCAUGGGCAGGUUGAAGGUUGGGUAACACUAACUGGAGGACCGAACCGACUAAUGUUGAAAAAUUAGCGGAUGACUUGUGGCUGGGGGUGAAAGGCCAAUCAAACCGGGAGAUAGCUGGUUCUCCCCGAAAGCUAUUUAGGUAGCGCCUCGUGAAUUCAUCUCCGGGGGUAGAGCACUGUUUCGGCAAGGGGGUCAUCCCGACUUACCAACCCGAUGCAAACUGCGAAUACCGGAGAAUGUUAUCACGGGAGACACACGGCGGGUGCUAACGUCCGUCGUGAAGAGGGAAACAACCCAGACCGCCAGCUAAGGUCCCAAAGUCAUGGUUAAGUGGGAAACGAUGUGGGAAGGCCCAGACAGCCAGGAUGUUGGCUUAGAAGCAGCCAUCAUUUAAAGAAAGCGUAAUAGCUCACUGGUCGAGUCGGCCUGCGCGGAAGAUGUAACGGGGCUAAACCAUGCACCGAAGCUGCGGCAGCGACGCUGAUGCGUUGUUGGGUA
rnacentral:rRNA from 1 species